rnacentral:rRNA from 1 species
AAUAUUUGACAAUGGUGGCAACCCUGAUCCAGCCAUGCCGCGUGUGUGAAGAAGGNCUNNGGAUUNUNAAGCACUUUAAGUUGNNNNNAAGGGCUUUAGGUUAAUACCCUGAAAUUUUGACGUUACCAACAGAAUAAGCACCGGCUACCUCUUUGCUAGCAGCCGCGGUAAUACAGAGGGUGCAAGCGUUAAUCGGAAUUAGUGGCCGUAAAGCGCGCGUAGGUGGUUCAGUAAGAUGGGUUUGAAAUCCCCGGGCUUAACCUGGGAACUGCUUUCAUAACUGCUGAGCUAGAGUACGGUAGAGGGUAGUGGAAUUUCCUGUGUAGCGGUGAAAUGCGUAGAUAUAGGAAGGAACACCAGUGGCGAAGGCGACUACCUGGACUGAUACUGACACUGAGGUGCGAAAGCGUGGGGAGCAAAC